rnacentral:rRNA from 1 species
AGAGUUUGAUCAUGGCUCAGAACGAACGCUGGCGGCAUGCCUAACACAUGCAAGUCGAACGAAGGCUUCGGCCUUAGUGGCGCACGGGUGCGUAACGCGUGGGAAUCUGCCCUUAGGUUCGGAAUAACAGCCGGAAACGGCUGCUAAUACCGGAUGAUAUCGCGAGAUCAAAGAUUUAUCGCCUGAGGAUGAGCCCGCGUUGGAUUAGGUAGUUGGUGGGGUAAAGGCCUACCAAGCCGACGAUCCAUAGCUGGUCUGAGAGGAUGAUCAGCCACACUGGGACUGAGACACGGCCCAGACUCCUACGGGAGGCAGCAGUGGGGAAUAUUGGACAAUGGGCGAAAGCCUGAUCCAACAAUGCCGCGUGAGUGAUGAAGGCCCUAGGGUUGUAAAGCUCUUUUACCCGGGAAGAUAAUGACUGUACCGGGAGAAUAAGCCCCGGCUAACUCCGUGCCAGCAGCCGCGGUAAUACGGAGGGGGCUAGCGUUGUUCGGAAUUACUGGGCGUAAAGCGCACGUAGGCGGCUUUGUAAGUCAGAGGUGAAAGCCUGGAGCUCAACUCCAGAACUGCCUUUGAGACUGCAUCGCUUGAAUCCAGGAGAGGUCAGUGGAAUUCCGAGUGUAGAGGUGAAAUUCGUAGAUAUUCGGAAGAACACCAGUGGCGAAGGCGGCUGACUGGACUGGUAUUGACGCU